UCAAGUGUAAAAGAUUCAGGUGACAUGAGGAGUUCCUGUGAUGUGUAACCAUUCAGACGCCACCAGGGUGCGCAUGCCUGGGUGCUCCGGGUUUUUCUCUCUCUCUCUGCCGGAUCGUCUCUGAUGCAGCUGUGUGCUAGCCUCCUGCUAUGGGCUAUGCUGUUUUUUAGUCUGAGAGAGCCAGAUAUUCAAAGUCUAGUCACUUUUAUCGUCAGAGCAGAGAGCGAGCCUUUCCUUUUUUUGCCGUGGGUAGAUGAGUGGACCGUGUGUUUUGCAACAGAAGCGGAGGAGAACUGGAACCCUGAACUGAUGAGAGCCGUGUAUUGUGCCCUGUGCCCGGAGUGAGUGUGUGUAUAUGAACCGUGAGCCUCUGGCCGGGUCUUUUCUUUUUCUUUUCCUUUUUCUUUUCCUUUCCCUUGUAUGGAUUCCUGUGAUUGAUCUGCAAGACAUCUUCUACUGGGGAUUCUUCCUGUGUCUGUAAAGGUAGAACGGGACCUCAGUGGUCGUGGCGAGCCAACCCAAAAGAUAGAGACUGGGAUUUAUACAGAGACUGUGAUUUAUUUGAAAAGACUGAUUUAUUGAGGACUGUGGUUGAUAUCUCAUGUCUGAAGAGCUGAAAAGCUAAAAUUUGUUUUUGUAUUUAUUUUUCUACAACUUCA